rnacentral:rRNA from 1 species
CCGGCUGCUCGAGUGAUGGCCACUAUUACUGGGUUUAAAGCGUCCGUAGCUUGACUGUUAGGUCUCUUGGGAAAUCUUCACGCUCAACGUGAAGGCGUCUAAGAGAUACCGGCAGUCUUGGAACUGGGAGAGGUAAACCGUACUUCGAGGGGUAGGAGUGAAAUCUUGUAAUCCUCGAGGGACGACCUAUGGCGAAGGCAGUUUACCAGAACAGCUUCGACAGUGAGGGACGAAAGCUGGGGGAGCAAACGGGAUUAGAUACCCCGGUAGUCCCAGCCGUAAACAAUGUGCGUUAGGUGUGUCGGUAACCACGUGUUACUGAUGCGCCGAAGAGAAAUCGUGAAACGCACCACCUGGGAAGUACGGUCGCAAGGCUGAAACUUAAAGGAAUUGGCGGGGGAGCACCACAACAGGUGGAGCCUGCGGUUUAAUUGGAUUCAACGCCGGACAUCUCACCGGAUAAGACAGCUGAAUGAUUGUCAAUCUGAAGGUUUUACAUGACUAGCUGAGAGGAGGUGCAUGGCCGUCGUCAGUUCGUACUGUGAAGCAUCCUGUUAAGUCAGGCAACGAGCGAGACCCACGCNNGACAAUUGCCAGCAGCAUCUCCGGAUGGCUGGGGACAUUGUCGGGACCGCCUCUGCUAAAGAGGAGGAAGGAAUGGGCAACGGUAGGUCAGCAUGCCCCGAAUUAUCCGGGCUACACGCGGGCUACAAUGGACGGGACAAUGGGUAACAACACCGAAAGGUGCAGUCAAUCUCCUAACCCCGUCCUUAGUUAGGAUUGCGGGUUGCAACUCACCCGCAUGAAUCUGGAAUCUGUAGUAAUCGCGUUUCACUAUAGCGCGGUGAAUACGUCCCUGCUCCUUGCACACACCGCCCGUCAAACCAUCCUAGUGGGGUUUGGAUGAGUCCCUGGUCUU